rnacentral:rRNA from 1 species
GAUGAACGCUAGCGACAGGCUUAACACAUGCAAGUCGAGGGGCAGCAUGAGGUAGCAAUACCUUGAUGGCGACCGGCGCACGGGUGAGUAACGCGUAUGCAACCUGCCCGAUACCGGGGUAUAGCCCAUGGAAACGUGGAUUAACACCCCAUAGUACUUUUAUCCUGCCUGGGAUGGGAGUUAAAUGUUCAAGGUAUCGGAUGGGCAUGCGUCCUAUUAGUUAGUUGGCGGGGUAACAGCCCACCAAGACGAUGAUAGGUAGGGGUUCUGAGAGGAAGGUCCCCCACAUUGGAACUGAGACACGGUCCAAACUCCUACGGGAGGCAGCAGUGAGGAAUAUUGGUCAAUGGACGUAAGUCUGAACCAGCCAAGUCGCGUGAGGGAAGACUGCCCUAUGGGUUGUAAACCUCUUUUAUAAGGGAAGAGUAAGUUCUACGUGUAGAAUGAUGCCUGUACCUUAUGAAUAAGCAUCGGCUAACUCCGUGCCAGCAGCCGCUGUAACAC